rnacentral:tRNA from 1 species
CUUGAUUAGAAGCCAAAAAGAGGCUUAUCACUGUUAAUGAUAGAACUGAAUUUUUUCCUAUCAA